rnacentral:rRNA from 1 species
UACGGAGGGUGCAAGCGUUAUCCGGAUUUAUUGGGUUUAAAGGGUGCGUAGGCGGCCCGAUAAGCCAGGGGUAAAAUGCAGUGGCUCAACCAUUGUUCGCCCUUGGAACUGUCGGGCUCGGGUAGAAUCGAGGUGAGCGGAAUGGGUAGUGUAGCGGUGAAAUGCAUAGAUAUUACCCGGAACACCGAUAGCGAAAGCAGCUCACCAGGCUCUUACCGACGCUGAUGCACGAAAGCGCGGGUAGCGAACAGG